AACGCACAUUGCGCCCCUUGGUAUUCCAUGGGGCAUGCCUGUUCGAGCGUCAUUUGUACCUUCAAGCUCUGCUUGGUGUUGGGUGUUUGUCCAUGCCUCUCUGGGGUAGGACUCGCCUUAAAGUAAUUGGCAGCCAGUAUUUUGGUUUGAAGCGCAGCACAAGUCGCGAUUCAAGCUUGAAUAAUAGCUUCCAUUAAGUUAUAUAUCACUUUUGACCUCGGAUCAGGUAGGGAUACCCGCUGAACUUAA
rnacentral:misc_RNA from 1 species